UUAAUGUUUUCAUUUUUUUAGUUGCAAAGUUGCGCAGUCUUCCGAUGGUUUCUUUUUUUCUCUGGCCAAUGAUCUAAGUUGCUUGUCAACGCACCACACGCAAAAAAAAAUAGAAAUCCACUGAAUGGCAGUCUCCGGAUUCCCCGUCGCAUGUCAAGUGUCGCAGCUGAUUUGUCGCCAAGUUGUCGGCAUUUGCGGGAAGAUAACUCCCAUCACAAGGAGUGGACACAUCCGACCACCCGUUUGAUUAACCGCCAGAGAGGCGUCCUCGCACACCCGCUCAUCUACAGCCAGCGUCGCUAUCCUACAAAAGGAUAACACUUUCAGCGAGAGUGGAAAGUGGAGCUAUUUGCUGUGAUGUGGAUGCCGGCAGGGUGCCCCUAUGUCCCUUCGCCCACAGCGCCAAGUCACCAGCCCCCAGCCCCUGGGCCAUCCCCUCAAAGACGCCGUGAUCCAAAGUGGACCAGGACCUGGUUGGUUUGUCAACUUCAGCGUCAGCGUCAAACGAAUCCGAGUAGGAACACAAAGGCUGAGACAAAAGCGGCAUGUUCAAAAACUAGACAAAUAUUAACUCAUAUGCAGCUUGAGGUUGAGCGGAGAAGUAGAAGCCUUUGUCUUUGGCCCUACAGUCUUACCUCUGUAAGACGAAUUUGCGCAGGGAAAUUACAAACUAUCAAAACGUUUUAUUUUAAAACCGGGUUGGAUUAUGAAAAUAUCCAAUUGGUAAUAAGAUCUACACUAUCAGCACAUAAUUUUAUAUACAAAAUGUAAACAAAUAAGAUUUAAGUUUGUCUGUUAAUCCAACACCAUCAUUGUUAUGUUUUUCUGUAAGGUUUAGAGCCAGCUAAUUAUAGGCAAUCUCCACUGUACAUGUGUGAUUGUGGCUUCAACUCCGUUUUGAUUGCAAUGGGAGAACAAUAUGCAUCAAACAGAAAAUAGCGCCACUUUACAAAAAGGGAUGCAAAGGAGCCGCAAAAGGACCUGCACGUCGUACACACAUUCAACCCAAAAGCUUCACACACACAUCCAUAAACACGUUGCACCCAAAUGCAUCCCACAAACACUUGUCGUUUGAUUUGUUUACCG